rnacentral:rRNA from 1 species
GGACUUCGGUCUGGCGGCGAGUGGCGAACGGGUGAGUAAAGUAUCGGAACGUGCCCAGUAGCGGGGGAUAACUACGCGAAAGCGUGGCUAAUACCGCAUACGCCCUAUGGGGGAAAGGCGGGGAUCCUUCGGGACCUGUCACUAUUGGAGCGGCCGAUAUCGGAUUAGCUGGUUGGUGGGGUAAUGGCCUACCAAGGCGACGAUCCGUAGCUGGUUUGAGAGGACGACCAGCCACACUGGGACUGAGACACGGCCCAGACUCCUACGGGAGGCAGCAGUGGGGAAUUUUGGACAAUGGGGGCAACCCUGAUCCAGCCAUCCCGCGUGUGCGAUGAAGGCCUUCGGGUUGUAAAGCACUUUUGGCAGGGAAGAAAUGGUUCUGGUUAAUAGCUGGAGCUGAUGACGGUACCUGCAGAAUAAGCACCGGCUAACUACGUGCCAGCAGCCGCGGUAAUACGUAGGGUGCGAGCGUUAAUCGGAAUUACUGGGCGUAAAGCGUGCGCAGGCGGUUCGGAAAGAGAGAUGUGAAAUCCCAGGGCUCAACCUUGGAACUGCAUUCUUAACUACCGGGCUAGAGUGUGUCAGAGGGGGGUGGAAUUCCGCGUGUAGCAGUGAAAUGCGUAGAGAUGCGGAGGAACACCGAUGGCGAAGGCAGCCCCCUGGGAUAACACUGACGCUCAUGCACGAAAGCGUGGGUAGCAAACAGGAUUAGAUACCCUGGUAGUCCACGCCCUAAACGAUGUCAACUAGCUGUUGGGG